UAGAAUUCCACGUGUAGCGGUGAAAUGCGUAGAGAUGUGGAGGAAUACCGGUGGCGAAGGCGGCCUUCUGGACAGAUACUGACGCUGAGAUGCGAAAGCGUGGGGAGCAAACAGGAUUAGAUACCCUGGUAGUCCACGCUGUAAACGAUGUCGAUUUGGAGUUUGUUGCCUAGAGUGAUGGGCUCCGAAGCUAACGCGAUAAAUCGACCGCCUGGGGAGUACGGCCGCAAGGUUAAAACUCAAAUGAAUUGACGGGGGCCCGCACAAGCGGUGGAGCAUGUGGUUUAAUUCGAUGCAACGCGAAGAACCUUACCUGGUCUUGACAUCCACAGAAUCUUGCAGAGAUGUGAGAGUGCCUUCGGGAACUGUGAGACAGGUGCUGCAUGGCUGUCUCAGCUCGUGUUGUGAAAUGUUGGGUUAAGUCCCGCAACGAGCGCAACCCUUAUCCUUUGUUGCCAUCGGUUAGGCCGGGAACUCAAAGGAGACUGCCGUUGAUAAAGCGGAGGAAGGUGGGGACGACGUCAAGUCAUCAUGGCCCUUACGACCAGGGCUACACACGUGCUACAAUGGCGUAUACAAAGGGAGGCGACCUCGCGAGAGCAAGCGGACCUCAUAAAGUACGUCUAAGUCCGGAUUGGAGUCUGCAACUCGACUCCAUGAAGUCGGAAUCGCUAGUAAUCGUGAAUCAGAAUGU
rnacentral:rRNA from 1 species